rnacentral:tRNA from 1 species
GGAGAGGUGUCAGAGUGGUCUAAUGUGCUCGCUUGGAAAGCGGGUGUGGCGUAACAGUCACCGCAGGUUCAAAUCCUGUCCUCUCCGCCA